rnacentral:lncRNA from 1 species
CCCAUACAAACCCCAUACGGACCCCAUACAGCCGUGCUUUUAGGACUUCCCCCAUACAGACCACAUACAGCCGUGCUUUUAGGGUUUCCCCCAUACAGACCCCAUACAGCCGUGCUUUUGGGAUUUCCCCCAUACAGACCCCAUACAGACACACUUUUAGGGUUUCCCCCAUACAGACCCCAUACAGACCCCAUACAGCCAUGCUUUUAGGAUUUCCCCCAUACAAGCCCCAUACUGUCAUGCUUUUGGGAUUUCCCCCAUACAGAUGUGGUUUUUGGGGUCCCCCCCAUUCAUAUGGGCUUUUUAUGAGGUUCCCCCGUCCAUAUAGGGUUUUUGGGGUCCCCCAUACAAAUGAUGGCAUUUUUUGGGGUCCCCCAUCCGUAUGGGGUUUUUUUGGUGUCUCCUCAUCCAUAUGGGGUUUUGGGGGGCCCUGCAUCCUUAUGGGGUUCUUCCCAUCCAUAUGGAUUUUUUUUGGGUUCCCCCCAUCCAUAUGGGGUUUUUGGGGUCCCUCCAUCCUUCUGGGGUUAUUGGGGUCCCCCAUACAAAUGAUGGCAUUUUUUGGGGUCCCCCCAUCCGUAUGGGGUUUUUUGGAGUCUCCCCAUCCACAUGGGGUCUCCCUCCAUCCUUAUGGGGUUUUUUUUGGGGUCUCCUCAUCCGUAUGGGGUCUUUUUGGGUUCCCCCCAUCCGUAUGGGGUUAUUGGAGUCCCUCCAUCCAUAUGGGGUUUUUAUGAGCUUCCCCCAUCUGUAUGGGGUUUUUUUUGGGGUCUCCUCAUCCAUAUUGGGUUUUUGGGGUCCCUCCAUCCUUAUGGGGUUCCCCCCAUCCAUAUGGGGUUUUUAUGAGGUUCCCCCCAUCCGUAUGGGGUUAUUGGGGUUCCUCCAUCCAUAUGGGGUUUUUAUGAGGUUCCCCCCAUCCGUAUGGGGUUUUUGGGGUCCCCCCCUUCACUCCCUGGCCCUCUGCGCCACCUCCUCCCCCAGCGCCUCCAGCACCUCCCUCUUGUAAUCCUGGAAAUCCCCGUCGAUUUGGUUGAGGCUCUGCUGCUCCACCACCCACAGCUGGCAGCCCGUCUCCGUGAUCAGCCGCGAGUCGUGGCUCACGAUGAUGACGGCU